GAUGAACGCUGGCGGCGUGCCUAAUACAUGCAAGUCGAGCGAACAGACGAGGAGCUUGCUCCUCUGACGUUAGCGGCGGACGGGUGAGUAACACGUGGAUAACCUACCUAUAAGACUGGGAUAACUUCGGGAAACCGGAGCUAAUACCGGAUAAUAUAUUGAACCGCAUGGUUCAAUAGUGAAAGACGGUUUUGCUGUCACUUAUAGAUGGAUCCGCGCCGCAUUAGCUAGUUGGUAAGGUAACGGCUUAUCAAGGCGACGAUGCGUAGCCGACCUGAGAGGGGGAUCGGCCACACUGGAACUGGGACACGGUCCAGACUCCUACGGGAGGCAGCAGUAGGGAAUCUUCCGCAAUGGGCGAAAGCCUGACGGAGCAACGCCGCGUGAGUGAUGAAGGUCUUCGGAUCGUAAAACUCUGUUAUUAGGGAAGAACAAAUGUGUAAGUAACUAUGCACGUCUUGACGGUACCUAAUCAGAAAGCCACGGCUAACUACGUG
rnacentral:rRNA from 1 species